GCGGGAAAUCUCACCAGCCCCACACAUAAAGAGGAUUGACAGUUUGAUAGUUCUUUCUUGAUUCUAUGGAUGGUGGUGCAUGGCCGUUAUUAGUUGGCGGAGUGAUCUGUCUGGUUAAUUCCGUUAACGAACGAGAUCUUAACCUGCUAACUAGAAAUUUUUAAAACUUUCUUCUUACAAGGACACUUAAUCGUUUAGAUUAGGGAAGUUUGAGGUAAUAA
rnacentral:rRNA from 1 species